AAACAUCAUUCUACUCUGAUAACAAACUGGAAAAGCCAAGUUAUUGAAGAAAAGGUUGAAAGAUGUGGACUGCCACUAGAAGCUUUUUGUACCAAGAAACGGAAAAUUUGAUUUCAAGAAGAGAAAUUAAUACCUUGAGUCACCAUCCUAAAGGCUUUCCAAAACUGAGCAAAUAGUUUCUUUUUAAUUAUCAGAGCUACAAGGUCUCUAUUUCAUUCUUAUGAUGGAAAUAAAAUCUCCAUUAUUUCUCA